CUCCAGGAAUUUCUUCGGGGAUACGUCCAGGGAUUUCUUCGGGGAUUCCUCCAGAAAUUCUUCCGGGGAUUCCUCCAGGGAUUUCUUCGGGGAUUCCUCCAGGAAUUCCUUCGGGGAUUCCUCCAGGAGUUCCUUCGGGGAUUCCUCCAGGAAUUCCUUCGGGGAUUCCUCCAGGAAUUCCUUCGGGGAUUCCUCCAGGAAUUCCUUCGGGGAUUCCUCCAGGAAUUCCUUCGGGGAUUCCUCCAGGAAUUCCUUCGGGGAUUCCUCCAGGAAUUCCUUCGGGGAUUCCUCCAGGAAUUCCUUUGGGGAUUGUUACGUUUAAGUUAUUUCGUUAGAUAGUAUGAUUUGAGAAUCUAAUCAGUAAGUUAGUAAACGAUAAAGAAACACAACAUUGUAAAAGCACGUUGCUCCGUGAAACACAUUUCGAGAACCUCUGCACAGCCUUUCCAUGCCACCACAGACAGCAGGUAAUAGCUAACAUUCAAUGAUGAUCAGCCAAUCAUUAGCUUCAGCAUACACGACCGGUCGAUGGGGGAAAUGCGGCAACACAGCAAACUCACAUCACCACGACGCCGUUGGUAGCAGCCUCCACACAAUGAGAGGGAACUUCUCGUUGGAGUUGAUCGAGCACACACACGAACCACGCCGUGUGAAUGGAAUAGUGUAUUGCACUUCGAGAGAAGGCAUAAUACGAUCGACUAUCGGCUCCAUCAUUCCGCCGCAUGGAGGGGAAGCACACGACAACCCGACACUCACACAGUCUACACUCGGUGGCGAGGCGAGCUCGCAAUCGCAAGCAAAACGGGAUUGCUUCAAUCGACGUCCAUCCGUGAAGCAAGUCAAGUGUGCAGUCCGUUUCUCCUUUUCGGAAUCCGCAAAACGACAGUUCGGUCAUACGGGAACGCGUGAAUAAGUGCCGGUGAUAUCAUCCAACGGAGAAUCCGUCCCCGCCAGCAUCAAUCCGGAGACCAUUGAGCAAAUAAAGGUGAGCUACAACCGCCAUGUGGAUCAGCUAGCCCCUGGCCAACCAAGCUAAAAGUAGCCAUCUUUAAAUUACAGCGAGUCACCACGCCAAGACCACGUGGACAGAAUUGUUCUAGAUUCCGAACUUUUAAAACGAAAUCGAUCGUCGGCCAGCGGUGUAAAAUCCCGCAGUGACGAAAGCAGGUGAGCCUAUUUCCGACGUAGAAAGUGUUCCUCCAGUGGCCUUGAUUUUAAUGCCGCCCGUUCUACCAACAGAUCACUGACACGCGGAACGGAUAGGAUCAUUCGAUCGGAGGAAGACCUGAUCGGAAGGCAGAAACGGGAGACCCGAAGUCAGCCAAACAGGUGAGCAAAACCAUCAUCCGAUUCUUCGCAGUGGCUUUGUGCUGAUAGCGCUUUUGGUCCAAUAGAUUACCAUCGAGUGCGAUUCGUGUUCCGUCCGAUUACACAGCCGGAGUAAAGGACGUUCGGAACCGAUAGGGCAGAGGCGACAGAGACCGGACCUCGUCGUAGAUCAGAGAGCCCCUCAAGAGGGUAAGUUAAAUGUCGCAUUUCAGAUCAGAAAUUUGCAAUCGUCAUGGUAAGCACUUUUUUGCGCACGUUGCUGCUCAUUCAAAUCAAAAUUGCAAGAAAACGAUAAGAGUUAGAAGUUUGGCGUCAAAGAACAAAUUGUAGAGUAAAACAGGGGCCACAACUUUCCCAAAGAAAGAAUUUUAAUUUAUUAUGCAUGUUUUAAAGAUAAUGGACAUAAACAAAUAAAAACACGCUAUUUUUAGCUAUUUUGCUCUAGAAAACUUAGUUAUUUAGCUAAACCAAUCGGUUCAAAGAUGCCAUUUGAUAGAAAAUUCAAUAAUCUUUCGAAUAAGAGUAAAAAAACUGCGGUAAGUUUGACCAUUUUAAAGUUAUAGCCAGUUGAGGCAAUAAGAGUCAAAAACAUGGGGAGUCCAAUAACUACGUAACGGUUGAGAUUUGACCAUAUGCGUAGAACAAUUUUUUUCACCAUUUAUGGUCCUCUAUCACCCUUUAAAAAGUUUGCACUCAUGAACCUAACACCCUGUAUAUAGUACACUGACUGACAGCAUUCUCCAGGCGCUUUAUAAAAAUCGGUCAAUUCAAAUCGACUUGGGUAUGCACCGCACAUCUAGCCCAGACAACGCUUAACCACGCGAAACGGUUGUUUGAUAUGGCAAUUCUAAUAGGAAAAUCCUCUCUCAAAAUCUCUCGAUCGGAUGAUCGAUUGUUCUCAUGUAAAUUGUAAAACACGUGAUUAAAAGGGGGUCGAUAGAGACAACCUACUGACAUGCAAGCCUCUUGCAAUUUGGUGCUCGCCAGUGAUCGUUCGUGAAUAAAGUGCUCUAUCAAGUUAAAGCUCAAAGAAAUAUUCAACGCACAAUACUGCCAAGAUUAAAAGUCAAACAACAGAAACCAAUAGAAUUCCAAUUCGAGCAAGAGUGAAUCUCUGAACCUUGCAGUGAAGUUGAGGAUAAACCUUCGAACUAAGGUUUCGGGGCAGGAUCAGAGGACAUCCACGCGGCGUUGAGGCCGCGGACAUCCCAUAACCUCGCCAAUCCAGCUAAAAGCGGAACAACCAUCGUAGUUGCAAACCACGUGGCAAACGGUAGUUCCAUUUGCUGAUACCCUCCUCUGGUUUUCGACCGGGUAUUGAGCGCUACCACAGCCAAGCAAAAACUCACGGAGUCGCCGACAGCAGUCCCUACCACCAGUUUUCAUUUUCGGCCUCUGGCUGGGCAUAUCCAGCGCCGAUUCAACGAGUUGCAUCGGCCAAUAAGGGCUCCCUCGAUUCCCACCACCCACGUGGUCGGCAAACCCAACAGUGGUUCCCACCGUCAGUGUACCCACCGACCGCCUGGUCGGCAAACCCAACGGCCGUGAAGCAUCCAAUAGCGGUUCCCACCGUCAGUGUACCCCACCGACCGCCUGGUCGGCAAACCCAACGGCCGUGAAGCAUCCAACAGCGGUUCCCACCGCCAGUGUACCCCACCGACCGCCUGGUCGGCAAACCCAACAGCCGUGAAGCAC